CCAACGCCGUGCAGCUUUCCGCUUUGGAAGGCUACACCGCCGCCGUCACCUCCAUCGUCGUCGUGCCUGCUCUCAACAAUAUUCUAAGCUACCGUUGGACCUCUUCUCUCGACGGAAUCAUUCUAAGCUAAUCUUGAAAUAGCUGUCUCCUGUGCAGUGGAUUUAUUAUAUUUUUCCGUCCUUGCUCUUCUACCCAAGUCAAAUGAAUGUACAUAUAGAGGUGAUGGAGUAAUCUUAUUAUUCAACAUAACAAAUCCUAUUCUUGUGGCUUUCUGGUCUGUAGCUAAGGUAUUGUUUGUUUACAAAACCCCUUGUGUAUCUGAAAAAUCCUGACUAUAAGCCACAGCCACUAUUUGAGCCAUCAACAUUCAGCAUAAUGGUAUUUGUAUCUAUUUCACAUUUUGUUAUAUCUCUAUUUAAUGACGAAAAAUAUGAUUCAGAUUUUUUUUUUGUAUUUUUAUUUCUUCCACUUGUUCUCUAAUGUUUGUGAUGGGAAUAUACCUCCAAGUAGAAGAGUCUAUGAAAAGAGGCAUAGGCGAGAUGUAGAAGAUCAUAAUCUCUGAUAGGGACUGUUGUUAUAAUAAUAACUAACUGAUAGCUGUUAUGGUUAGUUAGGAGUAAAGUGGGGUAGAAUAAAAGCAGGGGAAACAGAGAUGGGAUUGUAAUUGGGAAUUGGCAGCGUCCUCAGUCUUUUAACACACGAGGAACUUAGUCAUUCUUGUAUUGAUCUCAGAACUGCACCUGCACUAGGUCUUUCUUUCUUUUUUAGUACUAGUUUCUGUCAGUUAGAUGCCAAGAAGGAUAUUUAGUUAGAUGCUAAGAAACACACACAUCUUCACAUGCUUUUCACGGUGUUGCAUCAUGUUUGACAAUCCUUGCUUGAAGUAUUUGUGGUUCAUAGAUUAAAUAUUUGCCGAAUGUAUUUUCCAUGUCAGCAGUUCGAUUCAAUCUGAACUCUUCAUCCACUCUUCAGGCCAAGUUGGAAUCAAUAUUUGUCACACGUUUAGUAAGGUUUAUAGGAAAAUAACUGUUGGAGGCCGAAGGAGGGGUGCUUGCUUUUCUUCAAGGAAAUCAAUCUGAGCUAGCAAUUGUGAUGGGAAACCAUUGCAAAAACUGCUUGUUCUCUUUGAUCCAAAUGACAAAGAAGCCUGUGAGCCUAGUAUGAGUAGGCGGGAGGAUCUUGUUGCGUUUGAAGAAGCAGAAUAAUUUGGAUAUACGUCAAUUUAGGCGGAGUUGCCCGUGUUCUAUUUGAAAAGGAACAACGCUUCAUCGGUUUUCUCUGCCGCAUCAGAGAGGCCUUGGGAAACCAUAUUAGUGGAUCAUCACAUAUUUUGCUACCCCUUACCAAAUUGUGUUGUGAAUUUUUGGAGUCCCUGCUAGAGAAAAGGACCGCGACUCUAGAAUGACAUACCACCUACCGUGCUUGGAAGUUAGUUGGAACUGUUUUGAAGGGGUCGAAGUUGAUGUAGUUGUAUGUUCUUAUGAGACAGUUAUAAACACUGUCUACUAGCUGCGAUAGGCUGGUCUAGCACCAGAAUUUUUGCAUUUGGACAUGAUGGGAAAUGUUUGUGAAGUUAGCUGAUGCUGGGAGAAAUAGGGCAACAAAGAUUUCAGCUUCAAAUGGUUGGUUAGACGGCUUUGUAUACCCAAGAGGUUUUCUUUGAUGGAACAUAAAAGAGGUAAACAUAAUGGAAUAUAAUGGAAUAAUGGAAUGUAAUGGAGUAGAACAGAAUGAAAAUCUCAUUUCAUUGUUUAGGUAUUUUAUGAUGGAACGGAACAAAGUUAUAACUCUAUUGGAUAAUGGACGGAG